rnacentral:lncRNA from 1 species
AUCCACAGAGAGCGAUCAUCUUACAUUUUUUUAGACCAGAUGGGGGGAGAAACAGAAAGCCCUCAGAGAUAAAAAGCCUAAUGAAAUAUUUUAUAAAUCAUGCAUGCUGAUACUGAUACAUAUUUCUCAUGCUUAAAUAUCACUUCAUGCUUUAUCACUUCACCAUCGUACAAUGUAUCAUGCAUCAACAUUUAUCACAAACAUUUAAUUAUUUUAGUUAAACAUGCGAGUAAUGAAUUCAUAUACGUUCAUAUAAACACGUAAUAAUUUUAUUUAAGCAUAUAAGAUUAAGCAUGCAACCAUUUAAUUUAAAAUUUUGUUAAUUCAUAUACGUGCACAAGGCG